UUGGAGAGAAGGAAGAAAACAACACU
rnacentral:piRNA from 1 species